CCAGCAGCCGCGGUAAUACGUAGGGUCCGAGCGUUGUCCGGGAAUUACUGGGCGUAAAGAGCUCGUAGGUGGUUUGUCGCGUUGUUCGUGAAAACUCACAGCUUAACUGUGGGCGUGCGGGCGAUACGGGCAGACUAGAGUACUGCAGGGGAGACUGGAAUUCCUGGUGUAGCGGUGGAAUGCGCAGAUAUCAGGAGGAACACCGGUGGCGAAGGCGGGUCUCUGGGCAGUAACUGACGCUGAGGAGCGAAAGCGUGGGGAGCGAACAGGAUUAGAUACCCUGGUAGUCCACGCCGUAAACGGUGGGUACUAGGUGUGGGUUUCCUUCCUUGGGAUCCGUGCCGUAGCUAACGCAUUAAGUACCCCGCCUGGGGAGUACGGCCGCAAGGCUAAAACUCAAAGAAAUUGACGGGGGCCCGCACAAGCGGCGGAGCAUGUGGAUUAAUUCGAUGCAACGCGAAGAACCUUACCUGGGUUUGACAUGCACAGGACGUGCCUAGAGAUAGGUAUUCCCUUGUGGCCUGUGUGCAGGUGGUGCAUGGCUGUCGUCAGCUCGUGUCGUGAGAUGUUGGGUUAAGUCCCGCAACGAGCGCAACCCUCGUCCUAUGUUGCCAGCGGGUUAUGCCGGGGACUCGUAGGAGACUGCCGGGGUCAACUCGGAGGAAGGUGGGGAUGACGUCAAGUCAUCAUGCCCCUUAUGUCCAGGGCUUCACACAUGCUACAAUGGCCGGUACAAAGGGCUGCGAUGCCGCGAGGUGGAGCGAAUCCUUUAAAGCCGGUCUCAGUUCGGAUUGGGGUCUGCAACUCGACCCCAUGAAGUCGGAGUCGCUAGUAAUCGCAGAUCAGCAACGCUGCGGUGAAUACGUUCCCGGGCCUUGUACACACCGCCCGUCACGUCAUGAAAGUCGGUAACACCCG
rnacentral:rRNA from 1 species